UUAAAAUGAGAGUUUGAUCCUGGCUCAGGACGAACGCUGGCGGCGUGCCUAAUACAUGCAAGUCGAACGAAACUUUCUUACACCGAAUGCUUGCAUUCAUCGUAAGAAGUUGAGUGGCGGACGGGUGAGUAACACGUGGGUAACCUGCCUAAAAGAAGGGGAUAACACUUGGAAACAGGUGCUAAUACCGUAUAUCUCUAAGGAUCGCAUGAUCUUUAGAUGAAAGAUGGUUCUGCUAUCGCUUUUAGAUGGACCCGCGGCGUAUUAACUAGUUGGUGGGGUAACGGCCUACCAAGGUGAUGAUACGUAGCCGAACUGAGAGGUUGAUCGGCCA
rnacentral:rRNA from 1 species